rnacentral:lncRNA from 1 species
ACCUUACUUGAACAGGAUCUGUUCUAUAGGCUCGUACCUCUGUUUCCUUGAUUUCUCAAGAGACAGGCCCUUAACCCUGGUUGAUGAACCAUGACCGUGCUAUCAGAGCGUGAUUAACGGCCACGAUCAUCUUCGGACGCAUCCGGUGCUGUAGAGGAUCGUUACUCGGCUCGGUUCUACCUUGCCGGGGUGGUUGCACGGCGGUCUGACAGGUUCCUUUUUUUUCAUUCACUCGGUUCUUUAUUUUAAACAACGUAAGCUAUAUAAAUAUACAAUCCAAAACAUAGAGUCAUUGAUGAGAACUAAAAGGUGCUAAAGAGAUAUUUGACUAUAACCAUUACAAAAUAAUAAGAAGAAGCAAUGAGACGUACGAGAGAACUGACAAUGCCUAAAAAAGUUAUUUCGUAGUAAAAGUUUGUGAAUAGUGACAUUGACAUCAUCGCACAACUGCAUAGGAAGAAACUCAAGUGAGAUCAGCCUCGAAUCUGAGUUGUAUAGUGCUAUAUCGUGCAUCAUACAAUGAGGUAGUUGAUCUUAGUUAACCUUCAUGAAUUGAUACUUUUUUUUUAAUCAAUCCGAUGAGAUUAAAAGAGAUCAACUACACAACUGGACAUUGUACAAUUCAGAUUCUCUUAAGCUCCUUUCGAUGCAGCCUUGUGAUGAUCUCACUAUUUUCAUGGUGAACUUGUCUUCUUUCUGUUUUAUAGAGGAGAGUCCAUUGGUUAAUUGGUGAUGGUUUUAGGUAUCUAAAGAAACAAAUAAUUUAUAGGGUAAAAUAACUAAUGAAUACAAUAAAUUCAUUACGAGAGUUACAGUUUGAGAAUCGUCCGUUAUGACAAUCUUUGUAAUAAAAACAUAGACACUUCACCAUUUGAUUCGAAUAUAUAUUUAUUAUAUUGUUGUUAUAUAAACGCUGUAACCAGCCCCGGCUCAUAUGGGUAGGGCGGAGGUGCGACGGCCCGGGACUUUUUUUUUUUAUAAAAAAUUUUUACAUAUAAAAAAGGCCCAAAUAUUUUUUAAAAAUAUUAUUAAUAUGAGAAUUAUAUUUUAAGAGGCCUAAUUAUUUAUAAGAAAAUGUAUAAAAAGGCCCAAAAUUUUUAAAAUAACAAUUUUUACUAUAAAAACUCCGCAAAAUUUUUAAAAAUUAAGUAAAUUUUCUCUUUGUAUAUAAUAAUAGGCCAAAAUUUUUUUUUUUGCUCUAAGGCUCUCAAAUAUGUUGAGCCGGGGCUGGCUGUAACAAAUCGGAUGUAUUAAAAGACUAAAAUAUGUAUUAAAAUCUGUUACGUUUUUUGGUUUUAUAAUAACACAAGUUCUAUACUCAAUUUUCUUCAGCAUUUUUAAGCCUCUAGUUGAGCAAAUCCCUAUUUUACUCGUAUACAACAUUCGGUAGUUUUUUCCCAACCUGAAUUUCAUCCAUUUUCUCUUCAUUUUUUAAUUUUCGUGAACCAAAUAGCCCAGACUUUUCUCAGUUCUAUUCACCAUCUAUGCACAAUUUUGUGAUGCAUUUUCUUAUAUACUAUAAAGGAAACGCUAUAAUUUAAGCAAAUAUUUGUUUUUAAAAUUAUGAGUUUCAUUCUUGAAACAUGUAACCAACCCACGUUGGUCCAGUUGGUAAAGGGCUCACGGCUGUGAGUUCCCUCUCCUGGGUUCGAUUCGGGUUGGCCACCUAGCCGCUCCCUUAACGAUGGGAUAAAGCGUACCCGGAUGCAAGACCUCGUGGAUUAGUCUUUGGGCCUAGAAAGCCUUUGGGAUGACCACGGUUAUCAAAAAAAAAAAAAAAAAAAAAAAAAGAAACAUGUAAACAAUUAUAAAACAAACUCGUGAAACAUGUGGAUCCAAAAACAGAAGUUUUUGACUAUCACGUUUUUAGGAGAUCAAUUCAUCGCACAUAAUGCAACCAAACCCGCAAUGAGUUAAGACUACUUAAGAGAUGGGAUUUAAAUAUGGGCCUUUGCAGUUUAUACACAUUACAAGAUAUUGCAUCUGUCCCACAUCGUUCAAGUCUAAACAAAACUUGCUGAGAGAGCACCGAUGGUCACGACCUUACUUGAACAGGAUCUCCUCUAUAGAUUUGUACUUCUGUUUCAUUGAUUUCUCAAGAGACAGGCCCUUAACCCUGGUUGAUGAACCAUGACCGUGCGAUCAGAGUGUGAUUAACGGCUACGAUCGUCUUCGGACGCAUUCGGUGCUGUAGAGGAUCGUUACUCGGCUCGGUUCUACC